AAGAGGAGGAACCAUUAUGACGAAGGCAUAAUUUAGCAUGGUUCCGACGAAAUGCCGCCGAACGAAUGUGAGGGGGCGAUACCAAAA
rnacentral:sRNA from 12 species